GGCUCAGAUUGAACGCUGGCGGCAGGCCUAACACAUGCAAGUCGAGCGGAAACGAGUUAUCUGAACCUUCGGGGAACGAUAACGGCGUCGAGCGGCGGACGGGUGAGUAAUGCCUAGGAAAUUGCCCUGAUGUGGGGGAUAACCAUUGGAAACGAUGGCUAAUACCGCAUGAUGCCUACGGGCCAAAGAGGGGGACCUUCGGGCCUCUCGCGUCAGGAUAUGCCUAGGUGGGAUUAGCUAGUUGGUGAGGUAAGGGCUCACCAAGGCGACGAUCCCUAGCUGGUCUGAGAGGAUGAUCAGCCACACUGGAACUGAGACACGGUCCAGACUCCUACGGGAGGCAGCAGUGGGGAAUAUUGCACAAUGGGCGCAAGCCUGAUGCAGCCAUGCCGCGUGUAUGAAGAAGGCCUUCGGGUUGUAAAGUACUUUCAGUCGUGAGGAAGGCGGCGUCGUUAAUAGCGGCAUCGUUUGACGUUAGCGACAGAAGAAGCACCGGCUAACUCCGUGCCAGCAGCCGCGGUAAUACGGAGGGUGCGAGCGUUAAUCGGAAUUACUGGGCGUAAAGCGCAUGCAGGUGGUUUGUUAAGUCAGAUGUGAAAGCCCGGGGCUCAACCUCGGAAUAGCAUUUGAAACUGGCAGACUAGAGUACUGUAGAGGGGGGUAGAAUUUCAGGUGUAGCGGUGAAAUGCGUAGAGAUCUGAAGGAAUACCGGUGGCGAAGGCGGCCCCCNGGACAGAUA
rnacentral:rRNA from 1 species